UCACAGCUUGCGCCGGCAGUCUCCACAGAGUCCUCAGCUUUACCUGUUAGCAACUGUAGAUGGGGGUUGCGCUCGUUAUGGCACUUAAGCCGACACCUCACGGCACGAGCUGACGACAACCAUGCAGCACCUCGUAGACUGCCCCGAAGGGAGAACGGCUUUCACCGUCUGUCAUUCUACGUUUGAGCCCGGGUAAGGUUCCUCGCGUAUCAUCGAAUUAAACCACAUGUUCCUCCGCUUGUGCGGGCCCCCGUCAAUUCCUUUGAGUUUCACCGUUGCCGGCGUACUCCCCAGGUGGAAUACUUAACGCUUUCGCUGUAUCACCCAGUCAUCAUUCUGACCGGACAAUUAGUAUUCAUCGUUUACUGCGUGGACUAC
rnacentral:misc_RNA from 1 species